UACGGAGGGUGCAAACGUUGCUCGGAAUUAUUGGGCGUAAAGCGCACGUAGGCGGCCGAAUAAGUCGGGUGUGAAAGCCCUGGGCUCAACCCAGGAAGUGCACUCGAAACUGCUCGGCUUGAGUAUGGAAGAGGGUCGCGGAAUUCCCGGUGUAGAGGUGAAAUUCGUAGAUAUCGGGAGGAACACCAGUGGCGAAGGCGGCGACCUGGGCCAAUACUGACGCUGAGGUGCGAAAGCGUGGGGAGCAAACAGG
rnacentral:rRNA from 1 species